GCGAAGGAUCAUUAUAGAUUCUUUUGGCUGUGCGCCGCGAGGCCGCACGCCGAAAUCCAAUCACACACACCCGUGCACUUCGGUCGUGGUAAAACGCGGCCGCCUUCACAUUUAACAAGUAAAACCCGAAUGUAACAAACCAUAAAAUAAUACAACUUUUAACAACGGAUCUCUUGGCUCUCGCAUCGAUGAAGAACGCAGCGAAAUGCGAUACGUAAUGCGAAUUGCAGAAUUCCAGUGAGUCAUCGAAUCUUUGAACGCACAUUGCGCCCUUUGGUAUUCCGAAGGGCUGCCUGUUCGAGCGUCAUUAUCACCCCUCAAGCCCCCCGGGCUUGGUGUUGGACGGUUUGGUGAAGGCCUCCCGGGCGAUCACCCCCUCCUAAAGACAAUGACGGCGGCCUGUUGGAACCCCCCGGUACAUUGAGCUUCUUAACUGAGCACGUAUCGGAUCAAGGGAACCCAGGCCCCGGUCUUCUCCCUUCAUUGGGAAAAUUUAUCAAGGUUGACCUCGGAUCAGGUAGGAAUACCCGCUGAACUUAAGCAUAUCAAUAAGCGGAGGAAAAGAAACCAACAGGGAUUGCCUCAGUAACGGCGAGUGAAGCGGCAACAGCUCAAUUUGAAAUCUGGGCCUCUNCGGGUCCGAGUUGUAAUUUGUAGAGGAUGUU
rnacentral:rRNA from 1 species